GACGAACGCUGGCGGCGUGCUUAACACAUGCAAGUCGAACGGAAAGGCCCUGCUUUUGUGGGGUGCUCGAGUGGCGAACGUGAGAGUAACACGAGAGUAACCUGCCUUUGAGUUUGGGAUAACUUCAGGAAACUGGUACUAAUACCGACUAGGAGCUCCUGCUGCAUGGUGGGGGUUGGAUAUUUUCGGCGGUUGGGGAUGGACUCGCGGCUUAUCAGCUUGUUGGUGGGGUAGUGGCUUACCAAGGCUUUGACGGGUAGCCGGCCUGAGAGGGUGACCGGCCACAUUGGGACUGAGAUACGGCCCAGACUCCUACGGGAGGCAGCAGUGGGGAAUAUUGCACAAUGGGCGGAAGCCUGAUGCAGCAACGCCGCGUGCGGGAUGACGGCCUUCGGGUUGUAAACCGCUUUCGCCUGUGACGAAGCGUGAGUGACGGUAAUGGGUGAAGAAGCACCGGCUAACUACGUG
rnacentral:rRNA from 1 species